rnacentral:tRNA from 1 species
UGCCCCUUGGCCAAGUGGUAAGGCGGUGGCUUCUGGUGCCACUACGCGCUGGUUCGAAUCCAGCAGGGGCAA